GAGUUUGAUCUUGGCUCAGGACGAACGCUGGCGGCGUGCUUAACACAUGCAAGUCACGGGGGUCCCGCAAGGGAUAACCGGCGAACGGGUGCGUAACACGUGAACAACCUGCCCUCGUGUGGGGGAUAGCCGGGCUAACGCCCGGGUAAUACCGCAUACGGUCCUUUGGGGGGAGUCCCUGGAGGAAGAAAGCUCCGGCGCACGGGGAGGGGUUCGCGGCCUAUCAGCUAGUUGGAGGGGUAAUGGCCCACCAAGGCGACGACGGGUAGCUGGUCUGAGAGGAUGGCCAGCCACAUUGGGACUGAGAGACGGCCCAGACUCCUACGGGAGGCAGCAGUGGGGAAUCUUGCGCAAUGGCCGAAAGGCUGACGCAGCGACGCCGCGUGUGGGAGGACGCCUUUCGGGGUGUAAACCACUGUUGCCCGGGACGAAUAUCCUGUUGAGACAGGAUUGACGGUACCGGGUGAGGAAGCACCGGCUAACUCCGUGCCAGCAGCCGCAGUAA
rnacentral:rRNA from 1 species